UUCCAGAGGCUGCCUGAGACCUGGAACUCCACGUGGGUCGUGCGUGGAUAAAGAUUGAUUGUUUGAAGAAAUGACAAAGUCUCUCUCACUUGAUUAGAAUUUCUUCGACAAUAUUUGGCAACCCAGAUGGGAUCCCAAACUCCAUCUGCCGACGGCUCCUGAGGACCUAGGUUAACCGUGCACAGGGGCCACACCAAGUGGCUCAAGGAGCCCGCACUAAUCAGGGACCUGCCUAAGAUCAGAAGGAGGGUGUCGGCGGGUUGGAUAAGGUGUCCCGAACAGAGACAGGUAAAUAGGGGGAGACUGACAUUUCUUAAGGGAACUGCAAUCUAAUAUUAACAUCCAAAUAUGUGUGUACCGGAUGAAAACUCUAAUCUGUGUGAACUAGUUAAGAUCAUUUAACGUUAGCAUCCAAACCUGUGGGAACUAGUUAAGAUAAUUUAACGUGAACAUCCAAAGCUGUGUGUACCAGAUGUAUAACUAGACCCUGUGAGGGCUAGUUAAGGCCUAAAAGAGAAAGUCCUACAUGGACUAGAGAAAGUGCUAUAGAAAUAAAAGACAUCCAAAGCUGUGUGUAUCGGAUGUAUAACUAGACCCUGUGAGGACUAGUUAAGGCCUAAAAAAUAUAUUUUAGUAAUGGAUCAAUUGAACAAUAAUGUCUGUAAGAAAAGGGGAAGGAUAACUGAACUCUUAGAAUACGAAGCCUGAAAAGUACUGGACAAAUGAAAAAAUAAUGACUGAUGAUACGCGGAAAUUGGUUGAAGGACAUUCUAAAAGUACUGACUUAAAUUGCGCCUAAGAUAAAUCUAAAACUACUCUGGGAAUGGAACGCGCGGAACGAGAAAAUAAUAGACGGUAUGGAUUUGCCUACAAUAAAAUAGAGAGAAAGAUGGACUUUGAAUUAUUAACAACACAAGGACAUUAGGCUGAAAGCUGAAGACGGAUAUCUCAUUAACUGGGCUUGCGCGUGAAGUUCCAUUUACAAUUACAAGAUGACAGACUGAAUUGGCUGAACUGAGUGACGUUUAUGGCGAAGGAUCACAGUGGGAAGCAGUGGCCCGUUGCAUACUACUCUAAGAGACUUGACAGUGUGGUGAGAGGGUUGGUGUGUUGCCUCAGAGCUGUAGCAAUGUCAAGGUGCCAUGUUCCUACCAACUGACGAUGAUGGUGAGCCCCAUGAUUGUGCUGUCCUAGUUGACCAGGUCUGUAAGCCAUGCCCCGAUUUAUCUGAUAUGCUUUAAUGAAUGCAGAUUUGGAACUAUUUGUUGAUGGUUCUGCUCAAAAAUCACCUCAAGGCGAACCAUUAGUGACUUAUGCAGUAACUAUGGCUGCCGCUACCUUAGAAAGUGCUAUGCUACCACCCCAUCUGUCAGCUCAGGCUGCAAAAUAGUUUGCUCUUACUAGAGCAUUUAUUUUGGCUAAGAAUAAAACUGUUACGAUUUAUACUGACAGCAGGUAUGCAUUUGGGGUUGUGCAUGACUUCGGUACGCUCUGGAAGCAACGUGGGUUCCUCACCUCAUCUGGUAAGACAAUUUCACAUUCUAAAUUGGUUGAAAACUUGUUGGAGGCUGUCUCUGUUAAAAACAUGUUUUCUUUACAGGAUGUGUCUGACCUGCAGUUUACUGCAGGGCCAGUGGAAUUUCAUCUCUGGAACACAAAAUGUAUAUGCGAUUCACAGACUCAGCUGUGGAUGGGCCCAAAUGUUCUGCCGGGCCUUGCCUAGUAACUGUUUUCCCUAUGUUGCUAAAUUGGCAAAUGGUCAAGACCAUGUGUCAAAGAGAGGAGUAGUGGGAAUUGUAAGUGGGAAUUGUAAGAGUAGUGGGAAUUGUAAAUCAUUUUUGGUUUGCUCCAGGUUUCUUCUGUAUUUGCGGAGCAAUUUUGUGCAAAAUGUGUAAACCCCUUUUCCACAGAACAGAUUGACACUGAUGGGUGGUAAGGAUCAAAUGGUAAGCUACUGUGCUGCACAACAAUGUUCUGAAGUCUAUUUUCCCCAGGAUAAAAGUGGCUUUGCCUGAACCAAAGGGAGGAGAGCUCACACAAAUUGCAGCCAGGAGAUUGGGUGGUCAUCAAGGACCUCCGCAGAAAGACUUGACACCAACAGCGCUGGACUGGUCCAUUCCAGGUGCUCCUGACGGUUGCAGAAAGGUCGACGUGGGUUCAUGCUAGCCAAUGCAGGAAGGUGCCCCACAACCCAGACGAUGAUGUACCAGCCGAUGAAUCAUCAUAGGCGACCCCAGUGGCCAUGGAAGGACCAGAACCGGACUCUACGCAUCAUGUUUGUUGCUUUCGUGGUGAGUCUUCUCAUUGCAGCUGUGGUAUGGGCCCUGGGAGAAGUGGCCACAAUGCAACUGAAGAAUACGAGCAUAGUCCCAUGGCGGGACUUAAAUAACAGCCACUCCAGCUCGAGCCAACGGCAGGCUCAGGACAGGAGUCCAGCAAACAAUAGCCACCCCAUUGUUUAAGAAGACGGAGAUCGAUGCAUCAAUGCGAUGAUUGUCCACUUUAUACAGAUGAAGAGUUUACUUCUGUAUACAUUUUUUAUUGUUUAAAUGAUUCCCUUAAGAAGGUUUUGCAACAUGUGAAGGUGAAGUUAAUUGGAAAGUUAAUUGGAAAGUAAGUAUUCAAAUGUUUUAUUGUUUGGACUGAUUAUGUGUUUAAAAAAUACUGGUAACAAAUUCAAGACCAAAUGUAAUGUUAACUGUUGCCAUGACCAGGGCCAGAAUGCAGGUUGUGAAGGAUUAGCUGAGCUACCCUUUACUGCUGAAGACAGUGAUGUUUGACCUGUUGCAUACUUAGAGAUGCACCUGUUGUAGACAGAGGUUUGCUCUGGGAGUGGAAUAUUGGCUGGACGCCCAGAUUCUGUGGUUGUUAUCUCCUAAGCAGGUGUUCUCUCCUAAGCAUCCACACUCUGGGAGCAAACGCUUUUCUGAGAAAGGACAGUUAGAACUGUAUAUGAUAUGUGUAGAAGGUUAAAGGUUUUAAACUCCGUGGCACAACAGAAGCCAUUUACAAAUAUAAUGUUCUAGUGUAAGAAAGCCCUCUCCUACAAUGUUUAAUAUUCUGCUUGGUUGAAGUUUUGCUUCGAUUAUGACAUAAUUGGCUUACAUUAUGCAUUAUUACUUACAUGCUUACUUGUAAUUUAAUAUUAGGUUGAGAUUAAUCUCAAAAGGGAGGAAUGUCGUGGCAAAAUUACAACUUUUGUUAUGCAUAUGUGCUGCUGUAUGAGCCUUAUAUAGUUAUUUACAAUUUCCAACUGUCUGUUUGAAUGUCUUGUAAGAGGAAGCUGGUGUUUUUCCACUCUGCUUCUGUUGAACUUGGUCACACAGCAGAAGAUAAAGAGCCUCUGAGAUUGACCACAGUGUCUCAGUCUAUCCUGUUCUUCUCAUAUAUUUCAAGGGCACAGCCGAUACACAAAGCCACAAGAAGAAAACAAGGUAGCUUAUGAUGCCCUGAUCUGCCGGGGAGGGGUGGAACCAGCCAUGACUAAGCAUUUUUAGUUCUACUAUAUAAGACAUCAGCAUUUCCUGUUUGUUGGGCUCUCAACGAAUCACCUACGGGUGGUUCGUUGACCAGCUCCAUUAUUGCAAUAAUUAAUCAAUAUCAAAUAAAGAUUGAUUGUUUGAAGAAA